UUCUACGGGAGGCAGCAGUGGGGAAUUUUCCGCAAUGGACGAAAGUCUGACGGAGCAACGCCGCGUGAGUGAAGAAGGUUUUAGGAUCGUAAAGCUCUGCUGCUGGGGACAAGAAAAGGAUGGUACCCAGUGAGGAAGCCACGGCUAACUACGUGCCAGCAGCCGCGGUAAUACGUAGGUGGCGAGCGUUGUCCGGAAUGAUUGGGCGUAAAGGGAGCGCAGGCGGUUUAUCAAGUCUCACUUUAAAAAAUGGGGCUUAACUCCAUAAUGGGUGGGAAACUGAUAGACUUGAGAGCAGGAGAGGGAAGCGGAACUCCUAGUGUAGCGGUGAAAUGCGUAGAUAUUAGGAAGAACACCAGUGGCGAAGGCGGCUUUCUGGACUGCAACUGACGCUGAGGCUCGAAAGCCAGGGGAGCGAACAGGAUUAGAUACCCUGGUAGUCC
rnacentral:rRNA from 1 species